GUCGUCGUAGCUCAGCGGAAGAGCGCCGCCCUCAUAAGGCGGAGGCCGGUUGGUUCGACACCACCCGACGACAC
rnacentral:tRNA from 1 species